rnacentral:rRNA from 1 species
AGAGUUUGAUCCUGGCUCAGAACGAACGCUGGCGGCGUGCUUAACACAUGCAAGUCGGACGAUGAAGCCGGGAGAGCUUGCUCUUCUGGUGGAUUAGUGGCGCACGGGUGAGUAACACGUGGGUAACCUGCCCUUGAGUGGGGGACAACAUCGGGAAACCGGUGCUAAUACCGCAUAAGCGCACGGAUUGUAAUAUCUGUGUGAAAAGGAUUUAUUCGCUUAAGGAUGGGCCCGCGCCCUAUCAGGUAGUUGGUGAGGUAAUGGCUCACCAAGCCUAUGACGGGUAGCCGGUCUGAGAGGAUGAACGGCCACACUGGAACUGAGACACGGUCCAGACUCCUACGGGAGGCAGCAGUGGGGAAUUUUGCGCAAUGGGGGAAACCCUGACGCAGCGACGCCGCGUGGAGGACGAAGGCCUUCGGGUUGUAAACUCCUUUUAUGAGGGAAGAUGAUGACGGUACCUCAUGAAUAAGCCACGGCUAACUCUGUGCCAGCAGCCGCGGUAAGACAGAGGUGGCAAGCGUUGUUCGGAAUCACUGGGCUUAAAGGGCGUGUAGGCGGUUUGGUAAGUCUGAAGUGGAAUCCCACGGCUCAACCGUGGAAUUGCUUUGGAAACUGCCUGACUUGAGUCAGCGAGGGGAUGGCGGAAUUCCUGGUGUAGCAGUGAAAUGCGUAGAUAUCA